AUUGAACGCUGGCGGCGUGCUUAACACAUGCAAGUCGAUCGGUAACGCGGGGGCAACCCUGGCGACGAGAGGCGGACGGGUGAGGAACGCUUGGGAAUCUGCCUAUCAGCGGGGGACAACACGGGGGAACUCGUGCUAAUACCGCAUACGCUCUACGGAGGAAAGCCGGGGACCGCAAGGCCUGGCACUGAUAGAUGAGCCCAAGCCGGAUUAGCUAGUUGGCGGGGUAACGGCCCACCAAGGGGACGAUCUGGAGCUGGUCUGAGAGGACGACCAGCCACACUGGGACUGAGACACGGCCCAGACUCCUACGGGAGGCAGCAGUGGGGAAUUUUGGACAAUGGGCGCAAGCCUGAUCCAGCCAUUCCGCGUGCAGGAUGAAGGCCUUCGGGUUGUAAACUGCUUUUGUACGGAACGAAACGGUGAGCUCUAAUACAGUUUGCUAAUGACGGUACCGUAAGAAUAAGCACCGGCUAACUACGUGCCAGCAGCCGCCGUAACAC
rnacentral:rRNA from 1 species